CUUUCUUCUGAUGAGUGAACAGCCUCACCGGAACUUCCCCAUCCUCCUGGCUUGGUUCCUGAAGUGGCCCAAGGCUGCCUUCUCCCUCCCGUGGGUGAACAGGGUCACUGCUUCCUCUCUUGUCCAGGCCCCCUGGCCUGACCCUGAGUCCCGGGCGUAACGGCGUUGUUGAACCACCACAACCCCAGGCGGCGCCUUCCUCUUGGCCCAGGGGCUCUCUUGGGGACAGUGUGCAGUACUCCCCAAGGGGGCUUUGCUGUGCAAAAGCAGCCCCUGCCGAUGCUGCGGCUCCCGUGGAUGGAGCACUGCCGUGGGAACAGAGUUGGAACUCAUCCAAAAGAAUAAAAGACAACUGUGUUGGAAGAUUGCCAAGGUUUGUAGCUGUGCCACCGCAGACUUCAGAGAUGAACACUGCCUUGGAGACGAGGAGGAUUCAAGUUGCAGAAGCAUUUAGAAACCUCAAACUUGAGACACGGUGGGAAAUCAGGAAGACAUGAGGCUUUGCUCAACACUGGAGAACACCAGUUCUUUUCAGUUUGUAUGCAUCUUUAUCAGGAAGAUGAUCAUUCAAGAGGCCUGAAGGAAGACUUGUGUUGGAGCCUAAGGAUUAAGCACCAGAAUCCACCAGGUUGAAGUGGUCAGAAAUCUUCAGUUGGGCACCUUGGUGAGGAUAUAUUAUAUUAGUAAUUUGUUUUUUUAAUGCACAUACUUUUUUUGAACUGGAGAAUCUAAAGGCAUUUUAAUGUUUUCAAGUAAAAGAACUGUACUCGGUAGUCUUAGACUGCCUAAGAAAACAUCCCCUAGAUUCUGUGCUGGGAACGUGGCUAGGGGUUCAAGUCCACAUCUGGACACAAUGAUCACCCUAUCACUAAAAAAAUCCCAAUCAAAUGGCAAGCAAGCAAACAAAAACAGACAAGCCAACCAACCAGUCAAACAAACAAAAAAACUCACAGAAGGGUGGAAGAAAGCUACGCUCCAGGGAGUUCCUUAUGUUAAAUUUUUAUAUUCAUAAUAUACAGUGAAGGUGAGAACAUGAUUUUUUUCCUUUACACAGACGCUUUUCCUCAUUAGACUUUGAGAUUUGAUUUUAUUCUUCUAUGAGUUAGAUUUUUAUCUCAAAUGGUAGAAAAGGUGACACAAGUGUAUCUGUGGAUAGAUGGUUAGGUGAACUUAGAGGAUGCACAUGGCAGAGUUGUGUGUGUGUGUGAUGUGUGUAGUGUGUGUGUGUGUGUGUGUGUGUGUGAUGUGUGUGUGUGUGUGUGUAUGCAGAGGAAAACAUUUCUUUGAGCUGAAAACACAUUAACUCUGUUUAUUCAAGCCAAACAUGAGCCUGUGUGCUCCUGUCACUUUGAGGUAGUGGAACAUCCUCUAGUGUCUUUUUUAUUAUGGGAACAGUUCCUUUUCUGUAAUUGAAAUGUCCCAUCUAGGCAAUAAAACCAUGAACUUGUUUCAAAGUUAAAUCUUCUGCUGUCCCUCUGCUGGGACCUCCUUUAGAACAGAAAGACUGAAGUUGGUUGGACACACGAUGGCUUCUUUCUGCUUCCCCAGCCUUAUUCUUGACUUCUCCUCCACUGUCCUCCAGCUGUGGCUCCUGAUGCCUGCAGAGUUGGAGGUGGAGGCAGAAGAGAGCAGAGAUGGGGCAGAGAAGGCCUCCCUUGGCUGGUGCAGAUUUGAUGUGGCAUUGGGGCCAUCUGGAUGGCUGCUGUACAGCGGCCACCUUAUCUUCCCCUGGGGCUCCCCGGUGACUUUCCGUAAGGUUCCCUGCUGGGCACUUCAAGCUGGAGUUCUUGUGCUAUGGGUUUGAUCUCCUCCCCAGUUGGCACUCGUCACUUACUCCAACCCUCUGCCCCUUUCGUGGACCCUCUGGCCUUCCAGGAAGCCUUCCUGGGCAGUUGGCUUCAUUCAUCCCUGCCCUACUGUCUUCGAAAGUGCAGCUCACCCCAAUGCAGUUUUUCUCUCCUUCACCUUUGCUGAUGUAGGUCAAGAGCCUCUCACCCCUAGAUCUCUCACACUUGUCUGCCAUAGACUUCACAGGACUUACAGGGCCACCUUUUUGGGCAUGCAGCCUGGACAACUGCACAAGGCACUGCACUCAGAAGGCGCUUGUUCUUGCUUUAAUGAUCUGGUGUUGCCAUCUUGAAGUUUUUGAUAAUUUUUUUUGAACUUGUGUUUUACAAGUGAAAUCUAGUGGGACAAUGGAGUAUGCACACAUCUGGGGAUGCCCCAUUCACACACAGGAUUCAUGAUGCCCAUGAGUGCAGAAUUCUGGUGAGAGUUCAGAGAGACUCUAAGCCAGUACAAGGUAUUAUGGAAACUGCCAGCUUCCAUAGAGUGCUGGCAGAAAAUGCACAUAUUAAGAGUGAAAUAGAAACAGUUGAGUUUGUUCUGUGCAGGGUUUCCACUCUUCUGGUCAGAAUGAAAUAAAAAUGCAUGUAUAAGCUAUGAAAUACAACUGUAUUUGAAGUGACUUCACAUGUGAGUUCAAUGCUCUUAUAUUUGCACUUAUAACUGGCAUUGUUCAAUGUAAAGAGAAAUGAUAACAUUCAUGUUAAUAAUUUUAAAUUAUGAUUUUUCUUCACUUAGAACAACAUUAAAUGUGUAUGUGUACAGGAAUAUGUAGAUGAAACUUAGCUUUUUCUGCAUAUGAAUAGCAAGGCUCCAGAGAGUUUCUUACAUCUUCAUAUUUAUAAUGUACAGUGGAAACACAAAUGUGUUGUUUUCCUUCUACACAACCCCUCUCCCUCUGCAUUAGACUCCAAAAUUUGAUUUUAUUCUAAAAUGGGUUAAGUUUUACCCCAAAUGGUGAAAUAGGUGACAAAAUUGUGUUUGUAGAAGAUGAGAUGAACAUCCACAUGCAGAGGUGUGUGUGCAUGCCUGUGUGUGUGCACACGCACAGGGACACACACCACUUUCUCAGCAGCAUUGUUUUUAGUAUCCCCUGCAGGGAGGAGUCAUGAAUGAUAUUCCAAACGCAUCUCAGUCUUCUAAACACUUAAAUCAUCUGCUCUCCUAAUAGGAUCUCCAAGCUGAGAAGUGAUUGCUUCCAUUGGCCCUGAACAGAAUAUUAAAUAUAUUUGAUCUUCAGAGCACUUUAUCCCAGAGUAGGUCUAUGAAAAAUCGAAGCAAAUUAUAUUUGGCUUAGGAA
rnacentral:lncRNA from 1 species